AUCCAGCUGAAGAUUCCCAAAUAGAAUGAAACAUGCGUCAAGCUGGAU
rfam:Schistosoma margrebowiei strain Zambia genome assembly, scaffold: SMRZ_scaffold0000007